rnacentral:tRNA from 1 species
GCAGCGGUAGUUCAGUCGGUUAGAAUACCGGCCUGUCACGCCGGGGGUCGCGGGUUCGUUAGUCCCGUCCGCUGCG